CUAGGGACGCGCAUUUCAAGCGCCCGUGUCGUCGGGUCAAACCGGCGACUGCGUUGGCGUUGCGGGCUCGGUCCGUCGGUGCCACUAAAAGCACUGGCGUGUCAACCGGCCCGCCCGUCCCCUCCUUCUGGAUUCCCGUUCCUGCUAUUGAGUUAGUGGGGACGUCACAGGGGGCUCAUCGUCGUCAUGCAAAUGGCGGCGGUGGGUCCCUGGGGCCCAAAUCGUUUACCGUGAAAAAAUUAAAGUGUUCAAAGCAGGCAAAUCCAAUUCUCUGCCACCGAAUACAUUAGCAUGGGAUAAUGGAAUAGGACCCUGUCCUCCUAUUUUCAGUUGGUUUUGGCAGCGCGAGGACUAGGGUAAUGAUUAAUAGGGAUAGUUGGGGGCAUUAAUAUUUAAUUGUCAGAGGUGAAAUUCUUGGAUUUAUGAAAGAUUAACUUCUGCGAAAGCAUCUGCCAAGGAUGUUUUCAUUAAUCAAGAACGAAAGUUAGGGGAUCGAAGACGAUCAGAUACCGUCGUAGUCUUAACCAUAAACGAUGCCGACCAGCGAUUAGGAGACGUUGAAUACAAAACACCACCAUCGGUGCGGCUGUUCUUGGCGUCGGUUUCGGCCGGCGCGGGGAUGGCUUAUCCCGGUGGCACCGGUGAAUGACUCCCCUACCAGCUUGUGAGAAAUCAUAAGUCUUUGGGUUCCGGGGGGGAG
rnacentral:rRNA from 1 species